rnacentral:lncRNA from 1 species
CUCAUUCUCUCUUGCCUGCCGCCAUGUAAGACAUGUCUUUGCUCCUGCUUCACCUUCUGCCAUGAUCAUGAGGCAUCCCCAGCCAUGUGGAACUGCCAGUAAAGGAAUAAAAAAGAUCCACCAAGACAGAGAAUUAAAGGAGAGACUCCAGCAUAUAAGAGGUCAACCAUUUAGGAAAACAGAAAGUGGAUACAGAAGUGGCAACUGACGUAGCGGAACAGAGAAAGCUGAAGGCUAAGUUCAAGAGGCGGGGGAAGCCAGCAAGAAACAAGCUGAUUCCUGUUGCAGAACUCUCAUCAGCUCAGCAAUAAGCACCACCUGGUUCUCUGAGGGUCUCACUUCACCCAGGCUGGAAUGCAGUGGUGUGAUCACAGCUCACUAUAGUCUCGAUCUCCUGGGCCUCCCACAUCAGCCUUCUUCUUUCGUGGCAAUUUUCCCCCAGGAGGGAUUUCCCUGCAGUGGACCUCCUCCCCAGUGGUACCUUCAGCCAUCAGAACACCUCGCUUUAGAUCUGUGGGUCCCAAAUUUCAUCAAAUCCAAUGACCAUUUCUAUGAUCACUCAUUCUGGGGGCAGCCCUCUGGCAUGUAAUGAGCAGUCCUAUGGAGAGGCCCAUGUGACAGUAGCCAUGCGAGUGACACUGGAAGUGAAACCUGCAGCUCCAGUCAAGCCUUUAGAAGACUGCAGCCCUGGCUGACAGCUUGACAGCAAACUCAUGAGAGACUCUCAGCUUGAACAACUCAGCUAAACUGUUCCUGGGUUCCUGGUCCUCAAAAACUCUGGAAUUCUGUGAAGCACAUGACCUCAAGUCUUUGGAUAAAUGGAAACGCAGCUUAUGCCGGAAAGAUGGAAGGCUGGCUGUACUAAUAUCAGAAAUGGAAGAGGAGAGACAUCACUAGAGAUCCCAUGGAUAUUGAAAGGAUAAUAAAGGAGUAUUAU